rnacentral:rRNA from 1 species
UACGAAGGGGGCUAGCGUUGCUCGGAAUUACUGGGCGUAAAGGGCGCGUAGGCGGCGGCGUAAGUCAGGCGUGAAAUUCCUGGGCUCAACCUGGGGACUGCGCUUGAGACUGUGUUGCUAGAGGAUGGAAGAGGCUCGUGGAAUUCCCAGUGUAGAGGUGAAAUUCGUAGAUAUUGGGAAGAACACCGGUGGCGAAGGCGGCGAGCUGGUCCAUUACUGACGCUGAGGCGCGACAGCGUGGGGAGCAAACAGG